AAUACCCGGCAGUGCAAUUGCAGGGUCAUAGGGAAGCUCUAUUUUUAAUUUUUUGAGGCAACUCCACACUGAUUUCCAAACUGGCUUUACCAAUGUAUAUUCCCACCUACAGUGUAAGAGGGCUCCCUUUCCCCUGUAACUUCUCCA